rnacentral:rRNA from 1 species
GUAGGUGGCAAGCGUUGUCCGGAAUUAUUGGGCGUAAAGCGCGCGCAGGUGGUUCUUUAAGUCUGAUGUGAAAGCCCCCGGCUCAACCGGGGAGGGUCAUUGGAAACUGGGGAACUUGAGUGCAGGAGAGGAAAGUGGAAUUCCACGUGUAGCGGUGAAAUGCGUAGAUAUGUGGAGGAACACCAGUGGCGAAGGCGACUUUCUGGCCUGUAACUGACACUGAGGCGCGAGAGCGUGGGGAGCAAACAGGGAUUAGAUACCCUGGUAGUCCACGCCGUAAACGAUGAGUGCUAAGUGUUGGGGGGGUUUCCCGCCCCUCAGUGCUGCAGCUAACGCAUUAAGCACUCCGCCUGGGGAUACGGUCGCAAGACUG